GUUUUAUCAUUUAAAAUUUACAUAUUCAGCUUUCUCAAUUACAAGAACCUGAAUAAUAAUUUAUAUUUCGUUUGUAUGUCAAGUGAGACACAUAAAAUUGCCCACACGGAAAGGUUUUAUGAUAACGCAACAAAAUUCGAUUUUGCUCUCAUGCUUUUACUGGAUUAGAAUCAAUCCAUUUUGAAUUCACUUCUUACUCGACUCGUCUACUGCACACGAAUAUAAUAGACGAACCAUUUCCUGGUUAAUAAUGAAAAAACAUGGAGCGUUCGUAUGUGGUUUCAAAAUCGUUAAAUCAAAAUGUUGAUGUCAAAUGAAACCACCGUUGUUGGAACUAAAUCAUUUAUAGAUGGAGUACUAUGGAUAUUUUUUGCUUUCGCUGUAUUGCUUUGAUAGAUAGUAAUUGACUGGUAAUGCAGUGUAACCUGAUCCAAUGCCAUAUAUGCCGGAAGAAGACAUCAAACACUAUGGAUACACCAUCAGCAGAUUCAAAAUGAAUUAAAACUGUCGAUAGUUAGGAGGAUGAGUUAUCCUAUUAAACAUACUACAUGCUAUCGGUAUAGCUAGUCAUUACUUUCAAGAUAAUUUUGCAUAUAGUGGAUAUUUCGUGUUAACGCUGAACAUAAUCUUGUGUACUGAAGCAAUUUUUGGGUCAGCUACAAUUAUUGUUCUGUUGCACACGUUCAAGUUUAAAACAUUGCUAAUCAAAGAAACAUUUUAGAGAUGCACAGGGAUAGG